rnacentral:rRNA from 1 species
UACAGGGGGUGCAAACGUUGCUCGGAAUCAUUGGGCGUAAAGCGCACGUAGGCGGUCUGUUAUGUCGGAUGUGAAAGCCCCUCGGCUCAACUGAGGAAGUGCAUCCGAAACUGGCAGGCUAGAGUACUAAAGAGGGUCGCGGAAUUCCCGGUGUAGAGGUGAAAUUCGUAGAUAUCGGGAGGAACACCGGUGGCGAAGGCGGCGACCUGGGUAGAUACUGACGCUGAGGUGCGAAAGCGUGGGGAGCAAACAGG